AAGACAAGCAAGUCUAAAGAAAAUUCGAGUUUUUAUUGAUAAUCAAAAGUGAACAAUUACAUGGCCGUAGAGGGAUUUAUAUAACGUCCAAUCAGCUUGACUCAAGAAAGAAAAAGACUCAAUUGCGACAUGAAUUUGAAAGGAAAAUAACAAAAUUAAAGGAGAUUACAUUUUAUGAUUAAGCUAGAAAUUCAAACUAAAAUAAAAGAAAAUCACACAAAGAAAAGAGAGGAUUAGUCAGGAUAAAAUAAAUCAUUUCAAAGAUUUACCUUAUUUUCUUUGCGCGUGAGUCCCGAUAUGGCAAGUGCAUUCCGUCCUUUGACUCUCUUGAUGAAUGUGGUGUUUUUUGAGGCUAGGUUCUUCGAGUGCAUAAUAUAUGGACACUCUGGCUUUUGACAGUUGUAAAGCUCCAAAUAUGUAGUCGGAUCAUUGAUUGGGUUUGACCGAAUAUUUGAUGGGCUGAGAGUC
rnacentral:lncRNA from 1 species